UCCUUCAGGCUUGGGGCCAAGAGCCAUUACCUGCUGAGCCAUCUCAUCGGAUGUCUCACACUGUACGAUAGUGGCCAUUAAGACAUUAAACCAUGAUUAAAAUCCAUGCUGAUUUGCUUCAAAGUUCAAGGCAUCCCGGCCUCCCGGACUCUCUGCUCGCACUGAGCCACUAACAGCCGUGUUCUAAUAAGGUUGAGAGCCACGGUCUAAUGACUAUUUAUCUAAGCCUGGAAACUGUGCCAAGGCGAAGGCUGUACUGAAUUCCACAAGGACCUGAGGUCUAGGUCAUCCUUGAACUCUAACCACGCAAGGCAUUCUCAUUGUCCUGGGUCAUUCUAUAGACCUGGUACCUGUUCGUGUUCAUGGUACCAGCCUCCAUCACGAAACAUUCACUCUGUGCCCAUUGUACUUAAUCUGCCCCCUUUCCCUGGCAUCUACAUUUCUCAUCUAGAGGACCCCUGCUGGCAUUCUGCUGAAUCUUCUGGGUCUCCUGUGUGUCUCCUCUUAGGGGCAGGUACUUCCUGGUACUGUCAAGCCUAAAGAAUAUUUCUGUUCGUUUGUUUGUUUCUUUUCCUCUUUUAAAAUGAGCAUUAGUAUUUUGCCUGCAUGUAUGUCUGUGUGAGGGUGUCAGGUCCCCUUGAACUGGAGUUACAGACAGUUGUGAGCUGUCAUGUGGGUGUCUGGAACUGAACCCGGGUCCUCUGGAAGAGCAGUCAGUGCUGUCUACUGCUGAGUCCCCUCUCCAGCCUUUGCUUCUGUUUCCUAAACAUUCACGACACUGUUCUCUCUCUAACUUGAGAGGCUAGGACAAGAUAAGAGACAAAGAUAAUAAGGAAAAGAACACCAUCACUGUUCAUGGAGAAGUCUUAUCUGUUGGGCAGGUAUUGCUGUCCCGAAUCUAGAAACCAUUUGUGGCAAGUAUAUCUUUGUUUCUAGUUCACAUACACAUCAACUGGAGUUUGUGGCAGUAACUCUCUUUUUCUUAUUUUCCUAAACGAGGAAGGACACAAAUAUAUUUAUUUAAGACAUGCUGGUCUCUGCUGGUAGCAGCUCUGACACCUUGGAAGCAGAGCUUUCUGAGUUGCUCUACCGGGAAGCAACUCCAAAGUUCUCAAAGCUAAUCCACAUCGGCCUGCCUUCCCUUCCACCUUCCACAGCAGGGAGUGAAGCUGUCACAAGGAAAUAUCACAAAUGGCUUUCAUAUGUGCCUUUGUGUAUAUAUGUAUAUACAUACAGACUUUGACCCUAGUGGAGACUGAGCCAAGCUAUAAACCUGGGAAGGCGGGAGCCAUGGCAUGUGCUAUCAUCUGCUUAGUGCUGGACAGAAGUAAGCAAGUUUUAAAAACUCACUAAAGUGACUUCAAAGCAUCCUGAAUAAAAAGAGGACACUCAGACACUCAAAGAGGGAAGACAAGAAAAAAAGAGGGAAAACUUAGGCAGAAUGCUGUCUUCAAACCCAGGCAACAAGGGGCUAGGAGGAAAACAUGGAGGAUUCUCCCUCAUCAUCCUCAGAAGGUAGCAAGGGUUUUGAGAGAUUGAUCUUGGACCUAUGGCCACUGGAAGUGUGAGACCAGGAAUCUCUGUGCUCCAGGUACCCAGCGUGUGAUCCUUGGUUAGUCAACCUGCAAACUAAUAUGGGAAUGAUCAAGAAACUCAAGAGAGGCCAAUGAAACUUGGGCUAGGACUUUGAAUGAAACAACUGGAAUAAUGAAUAUCUACUUUCUUUUCUAACUGUGAGGAAAGAAGAAUGGAGCUUCUGGGCUUUCCAUGUAGAUGGAGGUAUAAGCAGUACUGGGAGCCCCAGAUGGAGACAGAGUGAGCAAGAUGGAGUUCUAGCGACAUGUUGGAGUCACAAGUACAAAGCAUUUUCAAAUAGCCCUCAGAUCUUGAACUUUCCAUUACAUUGGCCAGUAAACUCUCUGCUUUUGCUCCCUUCAGGCUGAGACAUCCUAUCAGUUACUCAAAAGGGCCCAACUGAGGGUCUUAAACAGCUUUGGAACUGAUCAGAAAGCUGAGAGAGCGAACUCCUUCUGGUUCCUACUGCUGCUCGAGUAUGGAAGUCAACAGGGAAAGGGAGUAUUUGGCUCUAUGAAUUCUGAAUCAUAAUUAUAAAGUGUUUUACCCACAUGGACUGGGGACUCCUUCAGAGAAGUCAU